UACAGAGGUCUCAAGCGUUGUUCGGAUUCAUUGGGCGUAAAGGGUGUGUAGGUGGCGCGCUAAGUCGGGGUGUGAAAUUCGAGGCUUAACUCCGAAACUGCAUUCGAUACUGCCGUGCUUGAGGACUGGAGAGGAGACUGGAAUUUCAUGGUGUAGCGUGAAAUGCGUAGAGAUCAUAGGAAGACCAGUGGCGAAGGCGGGUCUCUGGACAGUUCCUGACAGCUGAGACAGAAGGCCAGGGGAGCAAACGGG
rnacentral:rRNA from 1 species